rnacentral:lncRNA from 1 species
AGACUGAAUUGUCCUGGUUAGCAGUGGACCCUCCAGUGUUGCCCGAGCUUUUUUUGUGUUGUUUUGGAGACAGGAUCUAUGUAGCCCAGACUGAUCUCGAACUCAUCACCUCUGUGCCUCUGUCUCUUGAGUGCGGGGAUUACAAGUGUGCCCAGCAUCAUCCAGUCUACCCGAGCUUUUCUCGGUGCCACUCUGGGCCCUAAAGGCUUAGCUGUCAUCUCCUUAGUCCCCAGCUCCUCCUGAGGCUUCUCUGAUGGAUGUUUCUGGAAGACUAGGGAUAGGAGUGUAUUCCCUGCCUGGAGGCAGGAUUUUCUGUCCACUUUUGGGAACCAGAGAAGCCAGGUGAUGAGACAGCACUAACACACUUCAGUUAACUCCUUAAGUUUCUCCUCUGCUUGCACAAGGGCUUCAUCCUGCGAUAAAACUGGGUCCGGGUCGCCUGUAAAAAAAAAAGAAAAUCUCCAUUUAUCUUUCCGUUCUAGGUAUGUUCACACAUCCGUCGGCUUGAAUUAUUUAAAGUUAUCGUGAAAGGGCCCCGAUUCCGAUUGCCUGCCCCUGACUUGCACUUUAAAUAUAGUCUUGGUUCACCAGAAUUCAUGUUGAAAAUAGAAAAUGCCUUUUAAACAGCAGUUUGGCACGUAAAAGCAUGGUUUACCUUGGAAUAUUUCUCCGACUGCACGGAAAGGUAUUCAGGCCAGAUUUUCAGAAAUGCUUGCCCCUGCCAAACCUAGAAAUCAGCGUGAAAUGAAACAAGAAACAUGGAACCCCAGGUCAUCAUUCCUGGGUGCCCCUUUGGCUGGGGGCGGGGGAGGUCUGAAUUGGAGAGGGAAAAGCCUUCUUCCCGGUUUCCCUUUCCCUCCCUCUGUCCCUCACUCCCUCUCUCCCUCUCUCUGAAGUUGCCAGACCUUAAUAUUAAAAUCAAAAUGAAGUCAACUGUGAACAUUAAAAAUAAGGGCCAUCUCCCGUUGAUGCGCGGCCUUGCCGGCAACUUAGGGAACCCCGUGUAAACACAGCACAUUGCACAUGCAGCGCCAGCUUCAUCACCCUGCGCUGAAUUAUUCAGUCUCUGUUUAUAUUUAUAUGUUAUAUAUUCUGCUUGCUCCUCUGAUUAGCAUAUCCCCCAAAUCUGCAGUGCGUCAAAAUACUGAAAUUAAAAAG